rnacentral:rRNA from 2 species
GGCUCAGGACGAACGCUGGCGGCGUGCUUAACACAUGCAAGUCGAACGGUGAUGUCAGAGCUUGCUCUGGCGGAUCAGUGGCGAACGGGUGAGUAACACGUGAGUAACCUGCCCCCGACUCUGGGAUAACUGCUAGAAAUGGUAGCUAAUACCGGAUAUGACGAUUGGCCGCAUGGUCUGGUCGUGGAAAGAAUUUCGGUUGGGGAUGGACUCGCGGCCUAUCAGGUUGUUGGUGAGGUAAUGGCUCACCAAGCCUACGACGGGUAGCCGGCCUGAGAGGGUGACCGGCCACACUGGGACUGAGACACGGCCCAGACUCCUACGGGAGGCAGCAGUGGGGAAUAUUGCACAAUGGGCGAAAGCCUGAUGCAGCAACGCCGCGUGAGGGAUGACGGCCUUCGGGUUGUAAACCUCUUUUAGUAGGGAAGAAGCGAAAGU